rnacentral:rRNA from 1 species
UCGAGGGGUAUGGUAGCAUACCAGAGACCGGCGCACGGGUGCGUAACGCGUAUGCAAUCUACCUUUUACAGAGGGAUAGCCCAGAGAAAUUUGGAUUAAUACCUCAUAGUAUUACGACCCGGCAUCGGGAUGUAAUUAAAGUCACAACGGUAAAAGAUGAGCAUGCGUCCCAUUAGCUAGAUGGUAAGGUAACGGCUUACCAUGGCAACGAUGGGUAGGGGUCCUGAGAGGGAGAUCCCCCACACUGGUACUGAGACACGGACCAGACUCCUACGGGAGGCAGCAGUGAGGAAUAUUGGACAAUGGGCGCAAGCCUGAUCCAGCCAUGCCGCGUGCAGGAUGACGGUCCUAUGGAUUGUAAACUGCUUUUGCACAGGAAGAAACAACGCUACGUGUAGCGUCUUGACGGUACUGUGAGAAUAAGGAUCGGCUAACUCCGUGCCAGCAGCCGCGGUAAUACGGAGGAUCCAAGCGUUAUCCGGAAUCAUUGGGUUUAAAGGGUCCGUAGGCGGUUUGGUAAGUCAGUGGUGAAAGCCCAUCGCUCAACGGUGGAACGGCCAUUGAUACUGCCAGACUUGAAUUAUUAGGAAGUAACUAGAAUAUGUAGUGUAGCGGUGAAAUGCUUAGAGAUUACAUGGAAUACCAAUUGCGAAGGCAGGUUACUACUAAUG